rnacentral:snRNA from 1 species
UUACUCAUUUUAGCAGCACAUAUACAAAAAUUGGAAUGAUACAGAGAAGAUUAGCAUGACCCCUGCACAAGGAUCACACGCACAUUCAUGAAGCAUUCCAUAUUUAA